rnacentral:tRNA from 1 species
GUUGUGGCUCAGUGGUAGAGCACUCGCCUAGCAUGUGCGAGGCCCUGGGUUUGAUCCUCGGCACUACA